GCGGUCGUAGCUCAGCUGGUUAGAGCACUGGAUUGUGGUUCCAGAUGUCGCGGGUUCGAGCCCCGUCGAUCGCCC
rnacentral:tRNA from 1 species